rnacentral:rRNA from 1 species
GACGAACGCUGGCGGCGUGCUUAACACAUGCAAGUCGAACGGAAAGGCCCAGCUUUCUGGGGGCGCGCGAGUCGAACGGGGGAGUGACACACGUGUGUUCUCUGCCUUACUCCGUGGUAUAACUUGAAGACUCGGGGUCAUACCCGGGAUGGCAACCCCUGCUGGUCGGUGGUGGAUGGUUUGUUCGGUUAGGGAUGGGCUCGCGGCCUAUCAGCUUGUUGGUGGGGUAAUGGCCUACCAAGGCGUGGACGGGUAGCCGGCCUGAGAGGGUGGACGGCCACAUUGGGACUGAGAUACGGCCCAGACUCCUACGGGAGGCAGCAGUGGGGAAUAUUGCACAAUGGGCGGAAGCCUGAUGCAGCGACGCCGCGUGGGGGAUGACGGCCUUCGGGUUGUAAACCUCUUUCGCCUGGGACGAAGCGUUGGUGACGGUACCUGGAUAAGAAGCACCGGCUAACUACGUG